AUGUAAUAAGAUGUACAAUUCCUGCAAAAAGAACCUUAAAUGUAUGUUUAAAAAAAUAUGUUGCCUAGAUUCUACCCAUUAUUCUCUCGUUUCAAGAAAGGUAGCUGCCACAACUGCCCUCAUUCUCAAAAGUAGUCUCAGUGCUCUUUGUUCUGUAGCUGUAUUCAACCAUCAGUGUGCUUCCAAGGGAAUCGGCAAACAACAUCUCCCUUAUAGAAUCUGGCAAGUUUGUUAAACUUUAUUUGAAUUGUACACCAAAAUAUUUGAGAUGGAAACCUAGAUGAAUAGGCAAAUUUGACCAAACUGGCAAG